GAUUAAGCCAUGCAUGUCUAAGUAUAAGCAUUUAUACAGCGAAACUGCGAAUGGCUCAUUAUAUAAGCUAUAGUCUAUUCGAUAAUACCCUACUACAUGGAUAACCGUGGUAAUUCUAGAGCUAAUACAUGCGUCAAAGGGCGACUUCGGAAGCCCUGUAUAUAUUAGAUACAAAGCCAACUCGUUGGUGAUUCAUAAUAUCUGUCGAAUCGCACGGCCUUGCGCUGGCGAUGGUUCGUUCGAAUUUCUUCCCUAUCAACUUUCGAUGCGAGGGUAGUGUCCUCGCAUGGUGGCAACGGGUAACGGAGGGUUAGGGCUCGACCCCGGAGAAGGAGCCUGAGAAACGGCUACUACAUCCAAGGAAGGCAGCAGGCGCGCAAAUUAUCCAAUACCGAUUCGGUGAGAUAGUGACAAUAAAUACUGAUACGGGGCUCUUUUGGGUCCUGUAAUCGGAAUGAGUACAAUUUAAAUCUCUUAACGAGGAACAAGAAGAGGGCAAGUCUGGUGCCAGCAGCCGCGGUAAUUCCAGCUCUUCUAGCGUAUACUAAAGUUGUUGCGGUUAAAAAGCUCGUAGUUGAAGGUUGGGCGCGUGCGGCUGUCCUCCGCGAGGAGGUACGGAAGCGCGCGCCUUUUGUCUGUGGAGCGGCAUGUCCUUCAUUGGGCGUGUCGGGACACAGGACGGUUACUUUGAAGAAAUUGAAGUGCUCAAGGCAGGCGCAUGCUCGAACAGUUCAGCAUGGAAUAACGAAAUAGGACGCUGAUUCUAUUCGUUGGUUUCAGAAUCUGCGUAAUGAUUAAUAGGGACAGUCGGGGGCAUCAGUAUUGUGUGGUCAGAGGUGAAAUUCUUGGACCCACGCAAGACUAACUAGUGCGAAAGCAUUUGCCAAGGAUGUUUUCAUUGAUAAGGAGCGAAAGUUAGGGGAUCGAAAACGAUCAGAUACCGUUGUAGUCUUAACCAUAAACGAUGCCGACUAGGGAUCGGACGGUGUUUGUACGCGUCCGGCACCUUUCGAGAAAUCAAAGUGCGUGGGCUCCGGGGGGAGUAUAGUCGCAAGGCCGAAACUUAAAGAAAUUGACGGAAGGGCACCACCAGGGGUGGAGCCUGCGGCUUAAUUUGACUCAACACGGGGAAACUCACCAGGUCCAGACACAGGGAGGAUUGACAGACUAGAGAAUUUUCAUGAUUCUGUGGGUGGUGGUGCAUGGCCGUUCUUAGUUGGUGGAGUGAUUUGUCUGCUUAAUUGCGAUAACGAACGAGACCUUGGCUCCUAAAUAGGGGCGUUUGCUUUGGCAGACGUGCUCUUCUUUGGAGGACUCGCGGCGCAAGCCGCGGGAAGUGCGAGGCAAUAACAGGUCUGUGAUGCCCUUAGAUGUUCUGGGCCGCACGCGCGUUACACUGACUGGGGCAACGAGCACCUUGACCGAGAGGUCCGGGGAAUCUUGAAGCCCAGUCGUGCUGGGGAUAGAGCAUUGCAAUUAUUGCUCUUCAACGAGGAAUCCCUAGUAGUCGCAUGUCAUCAGCAUGCGACGAUUACGUCCCUGCCCUUUGUACACACCGCCCGUCGCUACUACCGAUUGAAUGGCUCAGUGAGGCUUCUGGAUUGGCGCUGCGGGCGACUGCGGCCGCCGAGAAACUAUCCAAACUCGGUCAUUUAGAGGAAGUAAAAGUCGUAACAAGGUCUCCGUUGGUGAACCAGCGGAGGGAUCAUUA
rnacentral:rRNA from 1 species